UGAUUAAUCACUUUUUUAUAGCUUCGAUUUGCUGUGUUUUUGUUUUUUGUUUUUCUUUCUGUGAUAGUUCAUUUUUCAUUUGGUUGCUGAGAAAAGGAAAUAAGAAAAUUCAAUAAGAGAUUUGCUUAGAUUUUCUUUUGCCCUAUCUAUAUUUUGGUCAAAUUUAUGUUUGUUUUUUCUGAUUUGAUCAUUGUUCUUUGAUCUUUAUUUCAAGAAAACUUUAUUAAUGUAAUGUAUGGUAGUGUGUAUGGAUGGGUAUGGUGCACAUAAAUCAUCUCAUGCAACAUAUAUGACAUUCUGUGCCUGCUGUGUUUGUUCCUAUUUUAUGGCUGGUAACAUUUACUGUAUGUUCUUGCUAAAUCAUCUGGAUUCUAACAUUUUUUAACUUUAGAGAUUUCUUGAUCAUGCCAAUUGUGAGGAGAAAUCACCGGAAUUGAGAGGGUCGGAAGCUCAUACCAGGGAGCCGCCUUUGCUGAUGCAAAUCCGUUUGUUUUACAAUGGACGUGCUGUCAAGGGCACCCUUCUUGUCAAUAGAAAGCUUCCAGAAAAAACAAUUCAGGUUAUGUCUUCAAUGAUAAAGGUUGAGGCAGAUUCAAGACUCUCAAAUGUGCAAACUUUUAACUCACUGGAGAUAGUUGGAAUUAGGUAU